rnacentral:rRNA from 1 species
UACGUAGGCAGCGAGCGUUGUUCGGAUUUACUGGGCGUAAAGGGUGUGUAGGCGGUUGUUUAAGUUUGGUGUGAAAUCUCCCGGCUCAACUGGGAGGGUGCGCCGAAUACUGAAUGACUCGAGUGCGGGAGAGGAGAGUGGAAUUCCUGGUGUAGCGGUGAAAUGCGUAGAUAUCAGGAGGAACACCAGUGGCGAAGGCGAUCAUCUGGGGUUGUUCUGACACUGAGGAGCGAAAGCUAGGGGAGCAAACGGG